UAUUCUUAGUCAGUUAGAUGACCUGAAUUAAAAUCAUUCUGAUUAAGAGUCACGCUCACUCUUAAUCAUUAAGAUUUUAAUUCAUUUUUAUCUAACUAUUGAAUAUGGAUGAAAAUAAGCAGUUUGAUCUGUCAAUUUUAUUAAACGAGGAGUUAAAAUUAACCAUUGAAGCAUUAUUCAAUCACAAUAAUUGGGAUUUUGUUAAAAUUUACAAAUAAAUGAAUGUGAAUGGACAGUCAAAACAACAGGAUGUGUUACAUAAUAAUUUAGAAUAUGAACAUCAGCUGAGGAUGCAUUGCCUUCGACAUCAGAAGGAGCAUUUUGGAAAAUAAUAGUAUAUUAUACAGGAAAAUGAGAAACUAAUGAAAAUGAUGUUUAAGAUGGAACAUGUACAGAGUGUUUAAGUUCACUAUGUGUGACAACACAUGAACAGGCAUGGCUCGGUGUAGAGUCAACACAUGAACAAAAUAGAACAGUUUGCUGAGUGAAAUAUAAAAGUUCUGGUCAAUGUUAGAUCACAGGUAAUGCAUGAACAAUCAAAAGUAUUUAAAACAGAAAGCUAGACUAAUGCAAGGGACAAUGCUGAUGUGACAGUAUUCAGAAUGCAAAGAGAAAUAAUGCCAAGAUGUGUACUUGAAUUGGUCUGAUCGAAAUACCCAAAUACAGCUGGCAUUACCAUAAUGAUAUCACUGUGUUAUAUUCACUGGAAUUUUAUUGUCCCUGUUGUGAGAAAAAAUGCAGCUGAACUCACCAACAUAAAUGAGAUCUUUUAACUUUAAGGAUAGCCCAGAUUUGAGAAUCGAAAGCAACAGUUCGUGACCACCUGUGGACAAUACACAUACUUACCUAGAUACAAUAUUCAAAUGGUGAUAGUGAAAUUUUACCUUAAAGUAAUGAUUACCUAUAUUCAACUGCAGGAAACUUCAUUCGGUGUUAGAGCACUGUCUUAAAUGGCAAGUUGUGACCUAAAUUUGAACCAACGAUAACAUAUUUAUUAAAUACCAUUUGUACGUGGAUGUGAAGUGCUUGGGUGUGAUCUGUUACAAUACAUUGCUCAAAGCAGUCAUCUCAUUUCGUUAUGAGCAAUUUUGAGGUUCCUGGUGUUUUUGCUGCCGUUGUUGCAGGAAGUUUUCUGAAACAUGUUGGUUUGAGACUCACGAGGAAUCGGAACGUUAAGGAAUAUGUCGGAACUGUUUCCCAAAUCAACGUGUAUCCGUUAAAGUCUGCCAAAAAUUUGCAAAAUGUGACGACUGCGAAUAUCACCACACAAGGUUUGAUAUGUGACGGAGUCGGAGACAGGCACUGGAUGGUGACAAGGAAAGGCCACUAUCAAAACAUGUCAGCAUUUCAACGCCUGAUUCUCAUCCAAACGACUAAAGAAGGAAGCUUUUUCAGGCUGGACGCAGAAGGAAUGGAACCGUUGAGGCUGCCUCUCGACCCAGAAGUAACCGGUGACAACCUGGUCGAAGUAAAAGUAAAGUUCGUACCACAGAGAGCCGUGGAUUGUGGAGAUGCUGCUGCACAGUGGAUCAGUACGUUCCUGAAGAAGGAAGGAUUACGGCUUAAUUACUCUCCUCCAUCUUUGUCGAAAAGAUUUUCAACAGAUGUUCCAAAGGAGUGGACAACGGAUGCAAAACCUGGAGAAGAGGUUGCCUUCCAGGACUUUGCCCAUUGCAUGAUCAUGUGCGACUCUUCAGUCGAAGAACUAAGCAAAAGAGUUCAAAGGAAUGUCCCUGCUAUCCAGUUCAGACCAAAUGUGUUGGUCAGCGGAACAACGCCAUUUGAUGAGGACACUUGGAAGUAUGUUUUUAUUGGUAAACAUAUAAAGAUGCGAUUUAUUGACGAUUGCCAAAGAUGUAUCAUUACAACUAUUGACACUAUAAAUGCUGAAAAGGACAAACAAGGGCAACCCUUGAAAACGUUAAAAACGUUUCGGUGCAAAGAACCAUUUGGACCAAUGAAACCGGUGAUGGGUAUUCACACAAACACUGAAAAAGAAGGAACUGUUAACGUUGGAGAUCCUGUAUUUGAUGGAGGUUUGACAAAGGGUGGAAUUUAGACAACGAAAUUUGCACUUUGACUAAAUCUUCUUUACGUUUGCUGAAAUGAAAGGGUGCAGUACCUUUAGAGACAGAAUGUGGAAUGUCAUAUUUGUGGACGGGAGUUACCUGACUAUUGGGUUACUUACGUUAGCGUUUUCAUUGAUAUGUCGCCAAUUGAUGACCACCAAGAAAAAGGAUCGCC